GGUGAACGCUGGCGGCGUGCCUAAGACAUGCAAGUCGAGCGGGGCAGGUUUAUACCUGUUCAGCGGCGGACGGGUGAGUAACGCGUGGGUGACCUACCCGGAAGAGGCGGACAACCUGGGGAAACCCAGGCUAAUCCGCCAUGUGGUCCUGUCCUGUGGGGCAGGACUAAAGGGGCGACCCGCUUCCGGAUGGGCCCGCGUCCCAUCAGCUAGUUGGUGGGGUAAAGGCCCACCAAGGCGACGACGGGUAGCCGGUCUGGGAGGAUGGCCGGCCACAGGGGCACUGAGACACGGGCACCACUCCUACGGGAGGCAGCAGUUAGGAAUCUUCCGCAAUGGACGGAAGUCUGACGGAGCGACGCAGCUUGGAGGAGGAAGCCAUUCGGGGUGUAAACUCCUGAACUGGGGACGAAAGCCCCGUGUAGGGGGAUGACGGUACCCAGGUAAUAGCGCCGGCCAACUCCGUG
rnacentral:rRNA from 1 species